rnacentral:lncRNA from 1 species
CAUCUUAUCCAUUUAUCAGAUCACACCCCUUUCUUGUUUUUUCCUUAGUCUCCGUUAGCAAAUCAAACAUAACUACAUAAACAAGUAAACAUGCAUCCGACAAUGCAAUCAUAUCUUAAAUUCUCAAAAUCAAACAGUGGUAAAGUAAGGUAGUAAUACAUGCAUUUAAACCAUAUAAUAUAUAAACCAGAUACCAUCAUGUUU